CAGCCACUGAAUCACAACCCCAGCCCUGAGACUAUUUAAAGGUACACAGACUCAGCUUGGGAAGCAGUGGCAAGAAGUUUUAAGCAAAGGUACAUCAGUCUCAAGAUUUUUACUGAUGGGGUGAACUAAGGCCUUGCAUAUACUAGGUCCUAUCCUGUAUUUUCCAUUAAUGCCAGGAGUGAAGCUGGACAAGGUGUGUCUAUGAUCCUCCUAUCUACACUGUCCUGAGGGAUGACCAUCUCAUGAGCCCAGGAGAUAGUGGCCAGGAGAAGCAAUAAUGAGAACUCUUGAAUUCAUGAUUGGGUCCUGAGAUCUAGGGCUUUUGUGGCAGCUGCAGGGAUAUCACUUAACCCUUAGGUAGCUGGAUGGAUGCUCGCUCUUUGGAUAGAAGAUUGAAUGUCAUCACUUUAAGUUUCUGAAGAGAUCUGAGUCUAGUUUUGGGCUGGGGGUUAAACCCAUGAAGUAUAUUUCAAGCAUGAUGGGGAAGGGAAUAAAGGUGCCUAAUAAAAGUCACUAAGGAAAAUUUUA